AUACUCUAGAAGAAUAAAAUAUUUAUACAUGUGCUGUCCUCCUUUUCUCUCUGCACAACAGAGAGAAUAAGUGAAGCUGCUUUGAAUCUGAAAUAAGGUAAAUAGGAGCCGGUCCACCUUCAUCCAUGUUUUUUCAUUGACUUCAGUGAGAACUGAAUAAGACGCUACUAAACUGGGGUCAAAGUGAAGGGAAAAAGGUGCUGUGCUGCCCCCCUGCAUCCACUCUCCCCGUUGCAGGGUCUGACAGGUGUUAGGUGUGCUCUGAGCAUGUCUACAGGAUCAGGCCCAUCUG